UGGGGAAUAUUGCGCAAUGGGGGAAACCCUGACGCAGCAACGCCGCGUGAAGGAUGAAGGUCUUCGGAUUGUAAACUUCUUUGAUCAGGGAAGAAAGAAAUGACGGUACCUGAAAAACAAGCCACGGCUAACUACGUGCCAGCAGCCGCGGUAAUACGUAGGUGGCAAGCGUUGUCCGGAAUUACUGGGUGUAAAGGGCGUGUAGGCGGGGAUGCAAGUCAGAUGUGAAAUUCCGGGGCUCAACCCCGGCGCUGCAUCUGAAACUGUAUCUCUUGAGUGCUGGAGAGGAAAGCGGAAUUCCUAGUGUAGCGGUGAAAUGCGUAGAUAUUAGGAGGAACACCAGUGGCGAAGGCGGCUUUCUGGACAGUAACUGACGCUGAGGCGCGAAAGCGUGGGGAGCAAACAGG
rnacentral:rRNA from 2 species